GUCGGUCACAUCUCCUAAAAAUAUCCCCCCUCUACUCUGUAUCACUGUCUGUGUUUCUCAGCAGACUCCUUUUACACAGAACAAGUCCUUGUCUUUAGGGAACACGGCAGUAAAGGGGUGUUACCAAAGAAUUCUAUUAGAAGCGGGUGUAACCCACAGCGAUAUGAACCGUGUUCUCAGUUCUCUCUGGUUUAAGUAGGAGGAAAAACAGUCGUCUCUGUUGCUUCAUCUUGCAGUAACCUGCUUUUUUCAGGUCAUUCGGCUCUUAGGAGGUAACUUACAAAGGGUGGACGAGAGGGAACAAACUGCCUGUGGGUCCCUUUUCUGUACUAAUGGCACAAAGGAUGUUGAAUGAAAGUGGGCAAGAUGGCCGAUCAGUCCUGGGAAUGUUGGAGGUGCAGGUAGAGCGGGACCCCAAGACAGGCGCCACCAUUGUUAGGUCAGUGGCUCCUGUGUCCACACCAGCUGGUGCUCCAAAGGCUACCACUGUCUUUGACGACGGCAGGAGGAGCAUCCACACUAUCAGUGGGUCAGCAGAUCAACCCUCGUCUGAAGAGCUCGGGCAUAUCUUGAGCGUCAUCGACGGGGUUGGGAUGAAAGUGCUGCUGAAUGAAGUUACAGUCACACCAACCAAGACAGAGACAGAGACAGUAGAAGCUAGCAAAGGCUCAGAGAAAAAAGGCCUGUCGCUUUACACCCAUCCCAGCACGUCAAAGGAAGACUACAGGCCGUUCGGCGGUUCUAGAAGCGAUGAUUUAGAAGUUGAGCUGAGCAGUGAGAAGUGUGUUGUAAGUGUGGGAAACACAGAUGAUAAAAACACGAUGGCAGUGAGAGACACUUUGGAAAAAGUAGAUAUCGUGGAGAAUCAGAUGUUGGAGGAAAGUCCUGUCACACUUGUGUUCUUGGGAUACGCUGAUGCUACAACUGACCAGAGUCAGAGCCAAGAGGAGCAGGAAGGCAUGAUCACUGUGGAACGAGUGAUAAUCACGGAGGAUGGAGAAGAGCAUGUCUUAGGACCUGAAAUGCCUCCUCCACUUUAUUCACCAUUAGACCAGGUAGCAGAGCAAGGCACCGGGAAAGAGUCCAAAGAUGAAGCAGUUCAGGAUAUUCCCUCGGGUGGAAACGGAGCUGGAGUCAAUGUGCAGGCAGAGGAAGGUGAUAAAGAGUCACAUAAUGCAUCUCCACCAGGCAUAACAGAGGGAAAAGGCAGUUCUAAGCACAGGAGCUGCCGGUGUUGCUCUGUCAUGUAAGAAAUGGUUGAAGAAAGACUCCCUGUAUACCAUGUAUACACUGCUUCCUUUAUAUGUUGCUUUAUAUGAGUGGGUUUAAUAGCAUACUACACCAUCACCCACCAUUCCACCUCCCCUUGAUAAUAAAAAUGGCAUUUAUAUAUUUGUGCAUCUUCUACAAAGCUCUACAAAGUGCACUAAAGUCCACUUCCACCCCCUACUGGACAGAAAUAAGAACUUCAAGCAAGCAAGCUUAUCCAACAGAAAAAAUCCACACUAAUUGUUUAGCCAUGGUUCCUGUAGAAAUGGGGGAAAAAAGUAUGCCAUCCUUUAGCAUGCACAUCCUAAUGCUUAUGGUGUCCCUCACUGUUUCUGGUAUUAAAAAUGCAACUGAGGGCUGAGAUUUUGAGUGUUUCUGAGUUUUGAUGCAUCACCUUUACACGUUGAGUUUCUUAAGACGGAUUCAGAGUCACCAUUUCUGUGUAAAAAUCCAAGCAUUAACAUUUUGAGAAAUUAUCUCACUCUUGCUCAGAGUUACAUGAGAAACAUUAAACUUUUCUAAUGUCUGUGCAGUUACUGUGAAGCUAAAACCAGCAUCUGGUUACUGCUGCGCUCGGGCUGACAUGGCAACAAGACAUUUUUAUCUCUCAGUUUCUGUACUGAUUAGGCAAACACUGAUUAGGUGUUAAUUAGAAGUUCUGGCUGGCAGAUUUUUUUUAAACCUCCUGGCAGUUGGGCUUGUUGGUUUCACGUUCAUGCCAAGUUAAUAAAAUUGGUUUGUAGAAUUUGUUUAAUAUUUUUCAGUGCCACUUAUCGUCUCAUCUAAUUCUUGGGGAAAGAAAGUAAAUAGCAUACCGCCCACCUUCUUGAACUAUGCCUUCACUAUUUUAGACCUGAUAUAUACAUUAAAAAAUACUUCUAGAAUUGUUUGAAACACUUGAAAAACCCUAUUGGCAAUACAAGAAGAACAAUAUGUUCUUCCUGUAUAUUCACUGUAGAAAAUCUGGAAAUCACUGUCUUUUUCUGACCUUUGUGUAAUUUUUUUUCUCACUGAAUUUAGAUAUAAAACUGAUUUAUGGCAGUGGAUGUUAAAUGGGAUAUGUUGUAAUAUGACAGAUUCCAGUUGGUGUAUUGAUUGAGUUUUACAAUUAGAUUUGAGAUGUACUCACAAUUUCACACUAAAGCAGCAAACAUGCAGACCUUCUGUAUUUGCUUCUGUAUCAUGCACUGAAAUACAUAAAAGAAUUGAGAUUUUCCAGCACAUUUUUUUGACUUUAAAUUCUCAAUUUAAAUUCACGUGACAUCUUUGUAUUUCUAAGAUUUCCUUUAUUUAAGGUGUUUAGGUGUGUAAAAACAGUAAUUAUACCAACAAAAAAUACUGACCACUGCUGUAGUACAAUUAACCAGCAAAUGGGUUUAUCAUAUGAAGAUAUCCUGUUAAUUUGAGAUGAUUAUGUUAUAUAAGCUGUUAAAUGUAACUUUACAUCAAAAUCUUGAAUAAACAACAGAUCUUCAAGUUUAAAGAAGGUAAACCCACAUAUUAAAUGACUGGAUUUAUCUUUAUUUAACACCAUAAAGUAUGUAAUUGUAAUAUACUGUUAAUUUAUGAUCAUAUUAAGUUUAAUAUGAUUCUUUAUAAAUAACUUAAGAUUGAAAUAUGAAAUGUUUCACAAAAGUUUAAUGUAAAAAAAAUUAAAUUCCUGGAUUUAAGUUGUAAAAAACAAUUUUAAAAUGGUUAACCUUGAAUAUAAUAUUAUUAUUAUAAUUAAAACAAGCUGCUGUCAUAUGUAAUGUGUUUUUUCCC
ensembl:lncRNA